rnacentral:misc_RNA from 1 species
AAGACUAUAGACCUGCGGAGUACCUGCGGAGGGAUCAUUACCGAGUGCGGGCCCUCUGGGUCCAACCUCCCACCCGUGUUCAUUGUACCUUGUUGCUUCGGCGGGCCCGCCAUUCUGGCCGCCGGGGGGCUUGCCCCCGGGCCCGCGCCCGCCGAAGACACCCUCGAACUCUGUCUGAAGAUUGUAGUCUGAGUGGAAUUAUAAAUUAUUAAAACUUUUAGCAACGGAUCUCUAGAUCGG